GUAUUAUCUAUGAAGUUGCGCCAAAUGAGAGAUGUAAUUAUUAAAUAAAUAAAUUUCAUUUUUAGUGGAUAAACAUGUGUCCCUUCAGAAAUGCAUUUGAAAAUAUAUUUUAAAAAGUAGUCAUUUAAGGCGUUCAACUAGAAAACAAUCUUAAAGGUUUGUUGUUAAAUCUAACGAUUUAAAAUACCCAUGUACGUGUGAGAAGACUGCAUUCAUAAAAUGCAGUCGACUACGUAUCACUUUGGUCCCUAUGCUAUAUGCAUAUUUUAUGCAUAUCAAAUCGCAAAUAAAAAGAAAUCUAAAAGUUAUUCCACCUCAAAAGUUAAAUAAACUCACUUGAAUGCAUGCUAACUCAUGUAAGCAUACUUGCUAUAAAGGAAAAGAAAAGAAGUGAAAGAAGUAGGGAAGAUGUGUGAUGGUUAGUAGGAGAAAUUCUAGAUGAAAUGGAUAGAAGGAAUCAAGGAAAGGAAUAAAAACAUGGUAUAAGUAGGAAGUUAAAAGAAACUAAUUAAAAUUAUAAUGUUUAUGGUAAGCGGUCUUUAGCCGGAUUUCACUUGCAAUGGAAUGUAUAGCAUAUAAAAUAUGAUAAACAUUAUAUUGAAAGUAAAACACCAUUGCCCGGGUCUAACCACGAGGAGGUAACCGCUUCCGAAGACCCACGAGGGAUGUUCAUCCUGAAGAUGUCCACAUCCGAAUUAAAUUUAAAGGAAAUAAGAUAAUUUAUGUUAUCAUUGUCAUAUGUCAUAGGUUAACAUUAUAAAUAUAUGUUACCCUGGAAGUUAUCUCUGUGCAGGAGCAUUGAAAUAAUUACAUAAAAAUUAAAAUAAUACCAAAAGGAGACCGUUAUAACCUUAAAUUUUAUUAAUUGGGUGUAUUAUUUCCUAUAUACACAUGCGCAACGUUAGGAAAGUCAUAUAAACAACAUUGAAUAAAAGUAAUUUGAUAGAGGACAACGUCUCAUUUCAACGGUGAAUUUCGAAGGGGACGAUUGUUUACCACAUAUAUCUAAUAGAAAAAUG